CGUAAAACACAAAGUACGAGGGAAAUAAUAAACAAUCAGAGUUUGUUCAACUUACUAACAUCAUCAUCUGAAACUAAUUGUGUUUGAGUCGUUGAUUGGAGUGUCGUUCCUUUUUCCCCAGUCUGCAUGGGAGUGUGUGGGGGUGUUAUGGGAGCGAUCACUGUGACCCUUUGGACCCUGGCUCUGACAUCCUGGCCCUGGGUGAAGUCUCCUCUGCACCAUCCCAAACUCCAUCUCAUCGGUCACAUCCCAUUGGUGGUGUCGCAUCUCUUUAGGGCUCCUCAGAUGCCUGAUCUGGAUCUCUGUAUGCAAUCAAUCGAAUCUUCUCACUUCUCUGAUUAUAACAAUUCUAACCACUGGGCCCCAUUAUUCCAUUUAUCUUGCUCUUUUUGUCCAGUUUUAGUUUCACUGUAGCUCUGGAAGUAGACUCAUC